AGCAGCCGCGGUAAUUCCAGCUCCAAUAGCGUAUAUUAAAGUUGUUGCAGUUAAAAAGCUCGUAGUUGAAUUUCGGGAUUCUACCGUCGGUCGGGCUACCAAGUCUGUACUGGUGUGUAGAAUUCCUACCUUCUGGGGGAACCAUCAUGUUAUUAAUUUAGCGUGGUGGGAAACCAGGACCUUUACCUUGAAAAAAUUAGAGUGUUCAAAGCAGGCUUAUGUCUGAAUACAUUAGCAUGGAAUAAUAGAAUAGGACGGUGGUCCUGUUUUGUUGGUUCCUGAAUCACCGUAAUGAUUAAUAGGGAUAGUUGGGGGCAUUAGUAUUCAAUUGUCAGAGGUGAAAUUCUUGGAUUUAUUGAAGACUAACUUCUGCGAAAGCAUUUGCCAAGGAUGUUUUCAUUAAUCAAGAACGA
rnacentral:misc_RNA from 1 species